CACGUAGGGCGCAAGCGUUGUCCGGAAUUAUUGGGCGUAAAGAGCUCGUAGGUGGUUUGCUGCGUCCGCUGUGAAAACCCAAGGCUUAACCUUGGGCUUGCAGUGGAUACGGGCAGACUAGAGGUAGGUAGGGGAGAAUGGAAUUCCCGGUGUAGCGGUGAAAUGCGCAGAUAUCGGGAGGAACACCGGUGGCGAAGGCGGGUCUCUGGGCCGAUACUGACGCUGAGGAGCGAAAGCGUGGGGAGCGAACAGG
rnacentral:rRNA from 1 species